rnacentral:ncRNA from 1 species
GGUCGGGCGGCUUUCGUCGGGAAGAAAGCCAGGAAUUGAUCAGAUUUGACUGUCUCUUAAGGGGGCGCGCCCGGUACCCGACGGUGCGCG